UAUCAGCAUCCAAGUUGAAGUGAAGAAUAAUACACAAAUCACAGUCAUUGUGAGGUAAAAAUACUAAGUGUAAAUUAAUUAUGCAAAUGGAAAACACUGCACAUUGAUGGUUGACGAGAACCCCCAAUGAGAAAGGUGAAGUGACAAGUCAUAGAUAUGGUGACAACAUUAGCCUGAUGUAAGUCUACUGACACUGAGCCAAAAUCAACUUGAGGCAAAGCCAAGCAUUCUUAUCUGUUUUGCAGUACCUUGCGUCUUCUCAACUCAACUUUUGAUAGGGAUAUUACAUUUUUC